UUGAACGCUGGCGGCAUGCUUUACACAUGCAAGUCGAACGGCAGCACGGGGGCAACCCUGGUGGCGAGUGGCGAACGGGUGAGUAAUAUAUCGGAACAUGUCCGGAAGUGGGGGAUAACGUAGCGAAAGUUACGCUAAUACCGCAUAUGCCCUGAGGGGGAAAGGGGGGGAUCGCAAGACCUCUCGCUUUCGGAGUGGCCGAUAUCGGAUUAGCUAGUUGGUGAGGUAAAGGCUCACCAAGGCGACGAUCCGUAGCUGGUCUGAGAGGACGACCAGCCACACUGGGACUGAGACACGGCCCAGACUCCUACGGGAGGCAGCAGUGGGGAAUUUUGGACAAUGGGGGCAACCCUGAUCCAGCCAUGCCGCGUGAGUGAAGAAGGCCUUCGGGUUGUAAAGCUCCUUCGGCAGGAACGAAACGGUGCGGGCCAAUACCCCGCAUCAAUGACGGUACCUGAAGAAGAAGCACCGGCUAACUACGU
rnacentral:rRNA from 1 species